rnacentral:rRNA from 1 species
GUUGUAUGGUUAAGUGACUAAGCGUACACGGUGGAUGCCUUGGCAGUCAGAGGCGAUGAAGGACGUAUUAACUUGCGAUAAGCCCAGAUUAGGUAGUAAAAACCACUUGAGUCUGGGAUUUCCGAAUGGGGAAACCCACUUACAUAAGUAAGUAUCGCUGCGUGAAUACAUAGCGCAGCGAGGCGAACCGGGGGAACUGAAACAUCUAAGUACCCCGAGGAAAAGAAAUCAACCGAGAUUCCGAAAGUAGCGGCGAGCGAAAUUGGACUAGCCCUUAAGCUUUUUAUGCGUCAGGUGAAACUUCUGGAAAGUUGUGCGAUACAGGGUGAUAGCCCCGUAACCGGCAACGCAUUUAAAGUGAAAUCGAGUAGGGCGGGACACGUGAUAUCCUGUCUGAACAUGGGGGGACCAUCCUCCAAGGCUAAAUACUACUGACUGACCGAUAGUGAACCAGUACCGUGAGGGAAAGGCGAAAAGAACCCCUGUGAGGGGAGUGAAAUAGAACCUGAAACCGUGUACGUACAAGCAGUAGGAGCACCUUCGUGGUGUGACUGCGUACCUUUUGUAUAAUGGGUCAGCGACUUAUAUUCAGUGGCAAGGUUAACCAUCUAGGGGAGCCGUAGGGAAACCGAGUCUUAACUGGGCGUUCAGUCUCUGGAUAUAGACCCGAAACCAGGUGAUCUAGCCAUGGGCAGGUUGAAGGUUGAGUAACAUCAACUGGAGGACCGAACCGACUAAUGUUGAAAAAUUAGCGGAUGACUUGUGGCUAGGGGUGAAAGGCCAAUCAAACCUGGAGAUAGCUGGUUCUCCCCGAAAGCUAUUUAGGUAGCGCCUCGGACGAAUACUACUGGGGGUAGAGCACUGUUAAGGCUAGGGGGUCAUCCCGACUUACCAACCCUUUGCAAACUCCGAAUACCAGUAAGUACUAUCCGGGAGACACACGGCGGGUGCUAACGUCCGUCGUGGAGAGGGAAACAACCCAGACCGCCAGCUAAGGUCCCAAAUUACUACUAAGUGGGAAACGAUGUGGGAAGGCUCAGACAGCCAGGAUGUUGGCUUAGAAGCAGCCAUCAUUUAAAGAAAGCGUAAUAGCUCACUGGUCGAGUCGGCCUGCGCGGAAGAUGUAACGGGGCUAAGUAGUAAACCGAAGCUGCGGCAAUGCACUUUAGUGCAUUGGGUAGGGGAGCGUUCUGUAAGCGGUUGAAGGUGUGUGGUAACGCAUGCUGGACGUAUCAGAAGUGCGAAUGCUGACAUGAGUAACGAUAAAGGGGGUGAAAAACCUCCUCGCCGGAAGACCAAGGGUUCCUGUCCAACGUUAAUCGGGGCAGGGUAAGUCGACCCCUAAGGCGAGGCCGAAAGGCGUAGUCGAUGGGAAACGGGUUAAUAUUCCCGUACUUCUUACAAUUGCGAUGGGGGGACGGAGAAGGCUAGGUGGGCCUGGCGACGGUUGUCCAGGUUCAAGUGCGUAGGCUUAAGAGUUAGGUAAAUCCGGCUCUUUUUAAGGCUGAGACACGACGUCGAGCUACUACGGUAGUGAAGUCAUUGAUGCCAUGCUUCCAGGAAAAGCCUCUAAGCUUCAGAUUGUAAGGAAUCGUACCCCAAACCGACACAGGUGGUCGGGUAGAGAAUACCAAGGCGCUUGAGAGAACUCGGGUGAAGGAACUAGGCAAAAUGGUACCGUAACUUCGGGAGAAGGUACGCUCUCGACGGUGAAGUCCCUCGCGGAUGGAGCUAUUGAGAGUCGCAGAUACCAGGUGGCUGCAACUGUUUAUUAAAAACACAGCACUGUGCAAAAUCGUAAGAUGACGUAUACGGUGUGACGCCUGCCCGGUGCCGGAAGGUUAAUUGAUGGGGUUAGACUUCGGUCGAAGCUCUUGAUCGAAGCCCCGGUAAACGGCGGCCGUAACUAUAACGGUCCUAAGGUAGCGAAAUUCCUUGUCGGGUAAGUUCCGACCUGCACGAAUGGCGUAAUGAUGGCCACGCUGUCUCCACCCGAGACUCAGUGAAAUUGAAAUCGCUGUGAAGAUGCAGUGUACCCGCGGCUAGACGGAAAGACCCCGUGAACCUUUACUACAGCUUGGCACUGAACAUUGACCCUACAUGUGUAGGAUAGGUGGGAGGCUUUGAAGCACAGUCGCUAGAUUGUGUGGAGCCGUCCUUGAAAUACCACCCUUGUAGUGUUGAUGUUCUAACGUUGACCCCUAAUCGGGGUUGCGGACAGUGCCUGGUGGGUAGUUUGACUGGGGCGGUCUCCUCCCAAAGCGUAACGGAGGAGCACGAAGGUGGGCUAAUCACGGUUGGACAUCGUGAGGUUAGUGCAAUGGCAUAAGCCCGCUUGACUGCGAGAAUGACGGUUCGAGCAGGUGCGAAAGCAGGUCAUAGUGAUCCGGUGGUUCUGAAUGGAAGGGCCAUCGCUCAACGGAUAAAAGGUACUCCGGGGAUAACAGGCUGAUACCGCCCAAGAGUUCAUAUCGACGGCGGUGUUUGGCACCUCGAUGUCGGCUCAUCACAUCCUGGGGCUGAAGUCGGUCCCAAGGGUAUGGCUGUUCGCCAUUUAAAGUGGUACGCGAGCUGGGUUUAGAACGUCGUGAGACAGUUCGGUCCCUAUCUGCCGUGGGCGUUGGAAGAUUGAAGGGGGCUGCUCCUAGUACGAGAGGACCGGAGUGGACGAACCUCUGGUGUUCGGGUUGUGUCGCCAGACGCAUUGCCCGGUAGCUAAGUUCGGAAUCGAUAACCGCUGAAAGCAUCUAAGCGGGAAGCGAGCCCUGAGAUGAGUCUUCCCUGAUACUUUAAGUAUCCUAAAGGGUUGUUCGAGACUAGAACGUUGAUAGGCAGGGUGUGUAAGCGUUGUGAGGCGUUGAGCUAACCUGUACUAAUUGCCCGUGAGGCUUAACCAUACAACACCCAAGGGGUUU